GCUAUGUUGACAGGGCAGCUUUAGAAACCAUGAUAGUGAUUGCUGCUGGCAGGCAGAUGCACUUUGGCAAGACUAGCUCCUGUACACAUUAGAAGGCCAAUUCGUCUUAUAGAUCUAACCCCAUCCAAAGUGCCCUAAAGAUGCCAUCUCUGGCUGAGAACAGACUCAUGACUGAAACUGACAAUUCUGAAGCUGCUUGCUGUGCUUACCUUGCGGACGUGAGACGAGAAGAGAACAUUCAUGAACUUGUCCUUUCGUUUCAACUCGUUGGCAACGGGGGUGAAUGCACCUGCAGCCUGGGGGUUAUCUGGAUUCUAGAGGAGCAAACAGGAAGACAGGCAGGCCAUUUGUCUUCAUCUUUAAAACAAGGGCCACAGCACCGGCAUCAUUACCAGCUAACAGUUUCAAAUAUACACACAUCCAAAAGAGCAUUUUAGGCUAGUCUUUCCUUGAGUUCUAAAAGUGGUAUUCCUUAAAUAGACAUGAGAAAUGCAGGAAAAGCUAGAAAAGCAUACAGAAGAAAAGAAACCGGUAAUCUGUCUUCAAAAGCUGAAGCAUCUAAAUUUACAAUCCAAGUUUUCUAACCAAGGCGGCUCAUGAAGAACAUGGCCAUGUUUCUAAAGCACUGAAAAACUACAGUAGAACAAGCAGCACAUUCAAAUGAGGCACACAUAUUUAUUCUGUUUAUAGGGCGUAAUCUUUAUUUUCU